AAAAAAGAAGGGAUUCGAGCGGAGGACACUGCGUCCACCUCCGUCCGUGUCUUUCUGUGCGCUGUUGCUUCGGCGUGGCCUCGGCCCUCCGGAGACUAACAUUUGAACGCUGUCUGAAGUUUGCAGUCUGAGUUUUUAGUUAAACAAUCGUUAAAACUUUCAACAACGGAUCUCUUGGUUCCGGCAUCGAUGAAGAACGCAGCGAAAUGCGAUAAUUAAUGUGAAUUGCAGAAUUCAGUGAAUCAUCGAGUCUUUGAACGCACAUUGCGCCCCCUGGUAUUCCGGGGGGCAUGCCUGUCCGAGCGUCAUUGCUGCCCUCAAGCACGGCUUGUGGGUUGGGCUUCCGUCCCUGGCAACGGGGACGGGCCCAAAAGGCAGUGGCGGCACCAUGUCUGGUCCUCAAGGGUAUGGGGCUAUGUCACCCGCUCCGGUAAGUCCGCCUGGAACCUAGCAUCGAAACCAAUCAUUUUAACCGGGUUGACCUCGGAUCAGGUACGAAUCCCGGUUAAACUAAGGAAAUAUCGGUAAGACGGAGGAAUUCAUCUUAACCUUAAAAGAAAAAAUUCAUUUUAAAAAUUCUUAAUACAUCGUAACAAAACUAUUAAUAACCCAUUCACGAUCGAUCCCGAUAAGUGUUU
rnacentral:misc_RNA from 1 species